rnacentral:rRNA from 1 species
UACGAAGGGGGCUAGCGUUGUUCGGAUUUACUGGGCGUAAAGGGUUCGUAGGUGGCCGAUUAAGUCAGACGUGAAAUCCCUCAGCUCAACUGGGGAACUGCGUCUGAUACUGGUUGGCUUGAGUGCAGGAGAGGAACGCGGAAUUCCAGGUGUAGCGGUGAAAUGCGUAGAUAUCUGGAGGAACACCGGUGGCGAAGGCGGCGUUCUGGACUGCAACUGACACUGAGGAACGAAAGCCAGGGGAGCAAACGGG